rnacentral:rRNA from 1 species
AGCCAGACUCCUACGGGAGGCAGCAGUGGGGAAUAUUGGGCAAUGGGCGCAAGCCUGACCCAGCAAUGCCGCGUGAAGGAAGAAGGCUUUCGGGUUGUAAACUUCUUUGACAGGGGAAGAGCAGAAGACGGUACCCUGAAAACAAGCCACGGCUAACUACGUGCCAGCAGCCGCGGUAAUACGUAGGUAACAAGCGUUGUCCGGAUUUACUGGGUGUAAAGGGCGCGUAGGCGGACUGUCAAGUCAGUCGUGAAAUACCGAAGCUUAACUUCGGGGCUGCGAUUGAAACUGACAGCCUUGAGUAUCGGAGAGGAAAGCGGAAUUCCUAGUGUAGCGGUGAAAUGCGUAGAUAUUAGGAGGAACACCAGUGGCGAAGGCGGCUUUCUGGACGACAACUGACGCUGAGGCGCGAAAGUGUGGGGAGCAAACAGGAUUAGAUACCCUGGUA